UGCAGCGAUGCCGCGUGAGUGAAGAAGGCCCUUGGGUUGUAAAACUCUUUCGUCGGGGAAGAAAAUGACUGUACCCGAAUAAGAAGGUCCGGCUAACUUCGUGCCAGCAGCCGCGGUAAUACGAAGGGACCUAGCGUAGUUCGGAAUUACUGGGCUUAAAGAGUUCGUAGGUGGUUAAAAAAGUUGAUGGUGAAAUCCCAAGGCUCAACCUUGGAACUGCCAUCAAAACUUUUUAGCUAGAGUGUGAUAGAGGAAAGUGGAAUUUCUAGUGUAGAGGUGAAAUUCGUAGAUAUUAGAAAGAACAUCAAAAGCGAAGGCAACUUUCUGGAUCAUUACUGACACUGAGGAACGAAAGCAUGGGUAGCGAAGAGGAUUAGAUACCCUCGUAGUCCAUGCCGUAAACGAUGUGUGCUAGACGUUGGAAACUUAGUUUUCAGUGUCGCAGCGAAAGCAUUAAGCACACCGCCUGGGGAGUACGACCGCAAGGUUA
rnacentral:rRNA from 1 species